rnacentral:rRNA from 1 species
AACGAACGCUGGCGGCAUGCCUAACACAUGCAAGUCGAACGAAGCCUUCGGGCUUAGUGGCGCACGGGUGCGUAACGCGUGGGAAUCUGCCCCUUGCUUCGGAAUAACAGUUAGAAAUGACUGCUAAUACCGGAUGAAGUCUUCGGACCAAAGAUUUAUCGGCAAGUGUUUAGCCCGCGUAGGAUUAGGUAGUUGGUGGGGUAAAGGCCUACCAAGCCGACGAUCCUUAGCUGGUAUGAGAGGAUGAUCAGCCACACUGGUACUGAGACACGCACCAGACUCCUACGGUAGGCAGCAGUGGAGAAUAUUGGACAGUGGACGCGAGUCUGAUCCAGAAACGCCGCGUGAGUGAUGAAGGCCUUAGGGUUGUAAAGCUCUGUUACCAGGGAUGAUAAUGACAGUACCUGGAGAAUAAGCUCCGGCUAACUCCGUG